rnacentral:rRNA from 1 species
GAUGAACGCUAGCGACAGGCCUAACACAUGUAAGUCGAGGGGCAGCACAAGAGUAGCAAUACUUUGGUGGCGACCGGCGCACGGGUGAGUAACACGUAUGCAACCUACCUGUAAGCGGGGGAUAACCCGGAGAAAUUCGGAUUAAUACCGCAUAAAACUUUAGAACUGCAUGGUUUAAAAGUUAAAGAUUAAUUGGUUACAGAUGGGCAUGCGUAUGAUUAGAUAGUUGGUAGGGUAACGGCCUACCAAGUCUACGAUCAUUAGGGGUUCUGAGAGGAAGGGACCCCACACUGGAACUGAGCCCCGGACCAGACUCCGACGGGGGGAAGAAGUGAGGAAUAGUGGUCAAUGGGCGAUAGCCUGAACCGGCCAGGUCGCGUGAAGGAAGAAGGUGCUAUGGAUUGUAAACUUCUUUUGCAGGGGAAUAAAAAAGGGAACGUGUGCUCUAUUGUAUGUACUCUGCGAAUAAGGAUCGGCUAACUCCGUGCCAGCAGCCGCCGUAACAC